GCUAGCGUAGCUCAAUGGUAGAGCCGUGGUUUUGUAAACCACAGGUUGUGGGUUCGAUUCCCACCGCUAGCU
rnacentral:tRNA from 1 species